AAAAAAACGAUUAGAUGUGGCUGAGUUCAGUAUCUACUGGGAUGUCAAUUGCACUUUAUUGGGGGAUUUGCCUCAAGCGGAGCUGCAGGUAUGUUCUGCUUUGGGGCUUCUGUGUAAGAUGGCUUUGAGGCUCAUGGUGCAGCGACCCUGGUUUGCAGGCGGUUGUCCCCUGUGUCCGUGUCGACAAGCAUCUUCUCUCUUGAGUCUGCCUGAGGAGCUUCUCGAGUCUGAAGGUUUCAACUUCAGAUGCACAUUAGCUUGUGUGUUUAACUUGGAUCAGGUUACUUGGUGACUUUUGUUCAUGUGUCUCUUUUUCAUGUAAAGUUGUUCUUUAAUUUAAUUAAUUAAGUGUAUUAGUAUUUAGUAAUCACUAAUUUAACACAUUCAGUUAAUAUUAAUAAAAUUAUAAAUACCAA
rnacentral:lncRNA from 1 species